rnacentral:misc_RNA from 1 species
GAUUCCCUAAUAUCAUGCCCCGCUAACUCUAAUAAAAAACAUGUAAUCGUAUUUAUUUUCCUUCCGUUUAGUCAGAGGCGCUGAUGUCGGCAUUGUGAUUGGUCGAACAUGACUUUUGACAAAUCGUGCGCUAUCUGUGAAUCUGUAAUCUGUGUUCGUGUUCGUUCGUUCGUUGUCGUUCACUUAUUUUAUAUGGUCGGUCAUGAUGUGAUGUGUUUGGUGUUUGGUUUGUGUUUGUGUUACCAUAAAAAGCUGAUAUUCAGUCGUGUUUUUUGAUAUUUUUGUUAUUUCAUAAUCGAGUACCUUUUUAAAGGUAAGUUUUUCUGAUUGUAGGUACUGUUUAUCCAACAGUUUUAAAAUACACAUUUUAUUUCGCGUUUUUUUGUUGGGUCUAAUGGCCGAUCAGCUGUUGUGUGCAGCCGAUAAAUUCAACAAGUAAACAUAUAUUUAAUCGAAAUUAAAUACUAAUAUUUCUAUGUAAAAUGUCACAUUAUUGUAUAAAUAAAUAAUUAAGAAACAAAAGUUGUUUGUGUUUUACCUUUAUUGGCCACUUUAAUAAAAUAAUAUUAAAUAUUGGAAGUACCGUAUGGAGGCUAUGGUGUACCUAGCGUGGAGGCUAGAUAACGCUACCCUUCCUAUCCAAUCAACAGCAAGAACGUUUAAAAUUUCACACCUAUCAUGUUGAAGCUACAGACCACUUAUGUGGAGGCCAGAUUUGUAGUAUCCUUCCAAUUUCCCAGGUGCUGAAAUACGUGACAUAUUUUUUGAAGGAUAAGAUCGCAUUCUACCAAAUCAGACAACACUUUUUUCUAUGGUCAAUAUCAUGAUGAUUAAAUAAAUUCAAAUUAUUUUGUUCAAGAACAAAGAUCCCAGUGCUUGUUUUAAUCAGAGUAUUUAAAUGUUCUUUGUAUAAAAAAUCACGACGUAAUGCAUUCUAUACAAUAGUUUCUUUAUUCAAUAAUGUGGGUUUUUGGUUAUGGGUCUCUUAUAUGGAAAAUUGAUUUUCCAUAUGAAAGAAAAGUUUUAGGGUAUAUUAAAGGGUACGAUAGAAGAUUUUACCAGCUCAGUACAGAUCAUAGAGGAACCCCAGAAAAUCCAGGACGGGUUGUAACCCUUGUUCCAUCCGAGGUAAAUUCAAAAGUUUAUGGAGUAGCCUACAAAAUUUCGGAGACAGAUGUAAAAAAAGUAGUAGAUCACUUAGAUCAUCGAGAAAAAGGUGGAUACGAAAAGAAAACACUUGAGUUCUUCCCAAUAUGUGAAGACCAACAAACCUUCAACAUCACCAUUUAUCUGGGGGAUCACGAAAACGAAAAUUACGGCGGCCCAGCAGAUUUGAACGAUAUAGCAGCUCAAGUAGUAGCAUCUGAGGGGCCUAGCGGGCCUAACGUGGAUUAUGUUUGUAAUUUAGCUAAUGCAAUGAGAAAUUUUUUCCCUUCCGUUCAGGAUGAACACUUGUACGAACUCGAAAAGAAGGUUCUUAAUUUAUUGAGGAAAAAUAACGGAGUAUGUACUAGUACAUAAGUGAUAUUUGGGGGAAAUAGUAAUGUAUUUGUUAAUGAGAUUUGUUAGAUCUUUGGCUGUUUAAUUUUAGGUUUUAUAAAAUUGUCCGUUGUAUUAAAUGAGUUGCUAAAAUUUCUUUCAGAGGUCAGAGGUUUAGAUAAAUUAUGUAGAGAAAAUGUUUUUCGAAAACAAACUUGUGAUUUUAAUCAGAAAACCCUUGUAUAAUAAAAAACAGAUAUUUUCAGAAGAGUUAAAAUCAUAUUUUAAAAAUUACCAACUGAAAAGUUUUUACAUACCCUAGAAAAGAGGUAAGGGAAAGUGUGGGAAUGGUGCGCAGCGGGUAAUCGUGCGCUGCAUUGUAUUUAAAAUUCCGUGGAUGCUCUUAAGAACUCAACAAGUCCUACACCUUUUGGAUGAUCUCGUGAACGGUUGACGCCAUUAUCUUUAGUCGAAUGUUGCACGUUGACUAAGUGAGAUCGGAUUAUUGAAAAUCGCAAGAAUUCUUUUAGUUUUUCUGCUCCAAAAAUUAAGACGCUAAGUUCGUAGGUUUUAUUAAGUUGCUUUGAGCUUACUAUUGAUUUAAAUCAUGUUGUUUUCCGUACAUUUUGGUCCAUCUGUUGGUUUAUAUGGUUUAGUAGUUUUUUGUUUGUGAUGACGUUUGCUAUUUAAGGCGCAAAGGGGGUAAUAGUGCGCACGUUUCCCCAACAAACAAUGAAGUGGUAAAUAAUAAAGUUACCAUUUUCGUUUCCAGAGGCCACAAACUACACUAGAAAAUCUAUGAUUCUUACAUAUUAUACUAACGAAGAGUUACAAAAUCCUCUGUAUGCAAUCAGAAAUGACGGCAAAAAAAUAAGGGAAACGAUAAAAGCUUUCGACAUUCAAGAUCGACUUCAAGAAAAAGACGAACGGGUUUAUGUUCCUAAAGGAGCUACAUAUGUAGGCUCUGUCUGUUGAUGGUGAUAUAACUAUCAUGGCCGUUUAUUACAUGAGUGCUGGAGAAAAUUAUAUUCCACUCGUGUUGAUCUAUCACGAGUUAAACCAGAAAUUAAAAUAAAAUCUCGAACAAUCGAAAAAUCUUACAAGCUCACCAAUGAAAAAAAAGGAAAAAAGAUGAUUAAGGGACGUGAAUCUCAAGAGAAAGCAGGAACAGAAAGCAGCAAGAAAGGCCAAAAAUGAUUUACUAAAAAAUCGCUAGAUAUCUCGCCAGACAGAAAAAAACUUGAAGGCAAACAAAACAAGAAGAGAGUGCAAAAGGAGCUAACACCUGAGUAGUCUGAUGUAACAGACACUGAUUUGUCAGAUAUUAUCGAUGAAGACAAAUUAUAUGAUAUAAAAUUAAGUUUCAUUCCACCACCAGAAAACCAGCUGCACCUAGGGACAUGUAUUUGCUGGAAAACAGAAAAGAACAAUGUUUAAAGAAUUUUAUAAAAACGUUAUUCAGUGCACACCAUUUACCAAUCCAUGCGCAUGAUUACCCUCAUGGAUGGGAAUCGUGCACAAAGGCACUUCUUUUCGUUUUUUAAUAUUUUGCUUUAGUAUUUUGUAUUUCUCUAAAACCUAAUUUAAAUAUUCAAAGUAUGUGGAAUAAUUAGAGCUUACUGUAACAUACUAGCCGUUAUGAUGAAUUUACAGAAUUUACAACAGAAUCGAUUUCUGCUAAGUGCGCACCAUUCCCUCACUUUCCCUUAUUACUUAAUAAAAUAUCAACCUAUAUAACCAGAGUAAAACUUAAACGCCAAAUGUGCAAAGAAUAUGUUUUCCAGUGAUUUGAUUUAUUCUUUGUACAAAUAGGUAUUACUAUGUAUAAGUAUCCCAGUUUUAUACUUAAAUAUCUGUGGCUCUUAGGUAAGCAAGUAUUAUUGUCAAAAUUAGUGAAAUUUUUUUACAGAUAUAGUAUAUUUCAGCGUUAUUGACAAGUAUAUGAAUUCUUUUUCUUCUUCAGCCUGUGUUCGUCCACUGCUGGACAUAGGCCUAUUCCAUUUGCUUCCAUCGAUUUCUACUCUUGUUUGCCCGCGACUUGUUUGAUAUCAUCUGCCCACCUCUUCUGCGGUCUGCCUACUCCUCGCCUGUUCUCACUUGAUCUCCAGUUUGUUAGCCUCUGUGUCCAUUUUUCGGGAUUAUUUCGGGCAACAUGUCCGACCCAUUGCCACUUGAGCCUUGCUAUACGUUCUGCGACAUCAGUAAUCUUUGUUCUUUCGCGAAUGUCGAUAUUUCGAAUUUUGUCUCUCAAACUAAUCCCUAGCGUGGCCCUCUCCAUCGCUUUUUGAGUUGUACUGAGCUGAUCUAAGGUUUUCUUUGUAAAGGCCAUGGUAUCCAGUCCAUAUGUAGUUACAGGCAAGAUACAUUUGUCAUAAACUCUACGUUUUAGACACAUUGGUAUAUUUCUAUUUUUCAAGAUACAGCUUAACUUGCCGAAAGCUACCCAAGACAAUUGUAUGCGUCUUUCUAUUUCGGCUAUUUGGUUUUCUUUGCCGAUUUUAAUGGUAUGUCCAAGAUAUAUAUAGUGGUCUACAUUUUCAAGACUGACGUUGUCAAUAACAAGAUUAGUUUGUACAUUACUCAUUAUUUUUGUUUUCUGAAGAUUCAUUUUGAGACCUAUUUUAUUUGACUGCUGGUUUAGUUCCUUCAUCAUUUGCUCCAGUUCCUUGAUAUCUGUACUGAAUAAUACUAUGUCGUCUGCAAACCUCAAAUGACUCAAACGUACACCAUCAAUGUUUAGACCUUUUUCCUCCCAGUCGAGCUGUUUGAAUACAUUUUCCAAUGCUAAGGUAAAAAGUUUUGGUGAAAUAGUAUCACCUUGUCUAAUACCUUUACCAAGGCGUAUUUUUUCGGUUUUUUGGUCUUCAUUGAUGUUGAUGUGGAAUGUGGCCUGUUCAUAAAUGUUUUUAAUGAGUGUAGUGUACUGUAAGUUUAUUCGAGCAUCCCUUAGGGCUGACAAAAAGGACCAGGUUUCAAUACUAUGGAAAGCCUUGUGAAAGUCAAUAAAUGCCAUAUGUAAGGGUACAUUAUAUUCUGUGGUUUUUUCUACCAGUGUUCUGAUGGUUUGUAAGUGAUCGUUAGUACCAAACCCUUUUCGAAAUCCCGCCUGUUUAGUAUAUGAAUAUAUAAUACGAAAUCAAUAAACAUAAAUAAACAUUUUGAUAAUUAAAUAGUUUAAUUACGAAAUUUUGUACUAUACAACAAUUUUUUUGGUAAUGACUCAUUUUCGUUUGUUUUAGAGCCACAAAUAUAAUGAUAUAUAUGAUUAACUCGGCAUUGGUCGCUAGGUUGGCUUUUACGUCAGUGGUCGCGCGUGAGAUUUUGUCUCACCUAUCCAACUUUUGCAUUUCUUACGAAAUAAAAAUUUCAAAAUAGAUUUUAAACUUAUUAGCUUUACACAAUGUGCCUGUUGAUGCGCUUGUACAUUUAAAUAUAAAAAUGUAGAAAUAAUAUUAAAUUUAAAAUUUCAAUAUAUCGCAGCCGUCUAUGAAAAGUAUAACUCCGAAAAAUGCCGUUAAGAAUAUAACUUUCAAAGAACGCCGCGAAAAAUAUUAUUUUCGAUUAUAUGAUCGUAAAAAUUAUAAUCCCUAAUAAAGUGUUAGCGAAAAAUAUUUUUUGAGAAGUAUCAGCAAAUACAUCAUUUCUGUUUGUGGGUUCACGAAAAUUUUAAUUACUAAAAAGUUCUCAUUGAAAAUAAUUAUUCUUCGAUCAAUAACAUUGAAAAAAAUUAUUUCUAAUUCUGUAUUCAUGAAGAUUAUAACUCCUAAUAAUGCGCGGUGAAAAGUAUGAUCCUGGAUGAAUGAGAGCGAAAAAUAUUUUUUCUGUUCUAUACUUUCGAAGACCAUAACUUCUAAUACGGUGCGGUGAUAAGAAAAAGUUUACAAUAAUUACCUGUAAAAAUAAUUAUUUCUGAUUAUGUUUCCACGAAAAUUAAUAUUACUAGAAAUUUCUCGGCCAAAAUAAUUACUCUUCGAUGAAUGACAGCAAAAAAAAAUCAUUUCUAUUUCUAUGUUUGCGAAGAUUAUGAAUCCUAAUAAUGCGCGGCGAAAAGAAUAAUCCUAAAUUAGCGACGGCAAAUUUUAUUUUCGUAGCUACUUUACUGGAAAAUAAUUUUUGUUUAAUGUAAAUCUUCGAGGAGUUAUUUUUUCCGCAAGAACAGGAAUGUAAAUAAUUAUAUUCGUCGUCAUAUAUUAAGAACUAGAUGUUUUCGUCAUAAAUAUUUUGGGAGUUAUGAUCUUCGUGAGUGUACAGAUAAAAAGAAUUAUUUUUUGUUGUUCCUGGUAUAAAAAUAAUUCUUUUUCUACGACCGUUUAAUAAUAUGCUCAUUAUUCGCUGUUUUUGAAUAGAUAAUAACAUCCAUUACUUUACCCGUGAGUAAUGGUUUAUUACUCACGGGCUGAAGUUACUCACGGUUUGAAGUUAGAUUCUAGUGGUGCAUGGCACUUUUAAUAUACCUAUUAGCAAAUAAAAUUACUUAAGCUUGUUUAUUUAAUAAAAUAGUCAUUGUAAUUUAUAUCCACAAUUAAAGUCGAAAAAUGUUUAAAGGAUUUUUAAUUGUAACAAUGGGUUAGUAUAUUUUUUACGUUUAAAUUUCAACAUUUGACAAUUUAAGAUUUACGUUAUUCAAAGGUAAAUAAGCAAUCGAAUGAAUUCUGUUUUACUUACUGUUGACUGUACAAUAAAUUUUUAUUAAGAGCACACGUUUCUUUUCGUGUAAUUGCCUUAAAAUAUGUCUUAUUUUUAAAAGCCACCUCCAUUCCAUGACACUAAUGUCAACUGUCUGUUUCAUUGUUUCGUAAGCUCAAAGAGGGCUAUUCUAACAGUGUUGCCAUAUUUAUAUAAAAUAUAUUUUCUUAUGAAAAACAAAAUCUUUUGAUUUUGAAUAAUGUUAGUAGUUGAUAAUUAUAUUUUCUACUAACCCAAAUAAAAAAGGUCGUAGAAAAAGUAUAGUAUUCUACUUGCAUGUAAUGGCUAUUACAUGCUCGUUGAAUAAUAUACUAUUUCGUCACAAAUAUUUUUAAAAUAAUAAAUGAUGGUUUUGCUUGUUUUCGAUUCAGAGGGUUGCACACCCGCUAGACAGGCUGUUUCUACCAUUUCAGGCGUCAUCAGUAGCUUUUGUUAGCGUGCACACCUCUGAAUCGAAAAAUAGCUCCACCAUCAUUUUAAAGGGAAUCUGAAAAAUAAUUCAAAUUUCCCAUUAGACGCGAUACAGCGACAUCUACUAACAAAUUGAAGAGUCUCAGAUGCAGAAUCCACCAAUUUAAUAAAAAUUAAAAUGGUAAAUAGUAAUUUAAACCUGAGACUUUUCGCGUUGAAAGUUCUUACUGGUACAUCCUUAAUCUGCGACUUUUUUAAUUAAUAAGACAGCAGACGACUAAUACAGAAAACGAAAGGGAAUCGAUCACAUUCCGCCUUCAUUCGUCUCGGAAAAAGACAGCAGAGGAACUUUCAGUACUCAAACCGAGUAAAGGAAAUAAAAUAAUAAAUGAUGGUUUUGCUUGUUUUCGAUUCAGAGGGUUGCACACCCGCUAGACAGGCUGUUUCUACCAUUUCAGGCGUCAUCAGUAGCUUUUGUUAGCGUGCACACCUCUGUUCUUACUGGUACAUCCUUAAAAAGUCGCAGAUUAAGGAUGUACCAGUAAGAACUUUCAACGCGAAAAGUCUCAGGUUUAAAUUACUAUUUACCAUUUUAAUUUUUAUUAAAUUGGUGGAUUCUGCAUCUGAGACUCUUCAAUUUGUUAUGAGAUGUCGCUGUAUCGCGUCUAAUGGGAAAUUUGAAUUAUUUUUCAGAUUCCCUUUAAAAUGAUGGUGGAGCUAUUUUUCGAUUCAGAGGUGUGCACGCUAACAAAAGCCACUGAUGACUCCUGAAAUGGUAGAAACAGCCUGUCUAGCGGGUGUGCAACCCUCUGAAUCGAAAACAAGCAAAACCAUCAUUUAUUAUUUUAUUUCCUUUACUCGCUUUGAGUACUGAAAGUUCCUCUGCUGUCUUUUUCCGAGACGAAUGAAGGCGGAAUGUGAUCGUUUCCCUUUCGUUUUCUGUAUUCGUCGUCUGCUGUCUUAUUAAUUGAAAAAGUCGCAGAUUAAGGAUGUACAGUAAGAACUUUCAACGCGAAAAGUCUCAGGUUUAAAUUACUAUUUACCAUUUUAAUUUUUAUUAAAUUGGUGGAUUCUGCAUCUGAGACUCUUCAAUUUGUUAAAUAUUUUUAAAUUUAUAAUCUUCUUGGGCACGUAAAUAGCAAUAAUUUUUUUCGUUGAUAUCUGUAGAGAAGUAAUUGUUUUCCCCACAACUUUUUGAAAAUUGUAUUCGCCGGUACAUUAACAAAGUUUUUUUUGUGGUCACUUAUUGAAAAAUGAUUUAAUUCCUUCGCUGUAAAUCUUCCAGGAAUUAUUUUUUUUUCGCGAAAACAGAAAGGGGAAUAAUUGUUUUCGUUGGCAUCUAUUAAGAACUAAAUCUUUUCCACAUAAAUAUUUUGGGAGUUAUAAUCUUCGCGGACACGCAUAUAAAAAAAAUUGUAUCGCCAACACUUAUCAAAGAGUUAUUAUUUUCACUGAAAAUGUAUUAGGAAUCACAUUAAUUUAGCUGUAUUUUAUUGUCCUGUAACAGGGCAAUUUCUAAAAUUAUCUUUGCACAAUUCAUAUUGCAAAUACAAAAUCAAAUAUUCAUACAAUAUAGAAUAACGCUAUAAAAUAAUGCUAAAUAAUAUUAUACACGGUAGUCGCGUGACGAGAGAAUAUCUCUCGUGAAGCGCACUGAGUUAACAAACGGGCCAUACUAAGUCAACUGUUCGAGUAACUGUAAACUAUUCGAUUGUAGAGGAAGGAGAAUUAUAAGACUAGAAGGAACUACAGCAUGUGUAAUUUACCAGGGAAAAAGUUGUGUGCAAUAUUCUGAAACCGUGAGAGAAAAUCUCAUAUAGCGACCAAUGCCGGGUUAAAAACAAAUAAACUGUGACAGUAUUUCGAACUUUAUAUUUACUAAUGUUUUAGCUAAAUUAUUGUGAUGUAGAAUAUGUUUUUAGGCUUAAUAAAAUAUUUGGAAACAAUUUACUCCAGAACUUACUGGUAAUUUAGCAUUUUAUUUAUUUUAUUAUACAAUUUUAAACUAAA